UACCAGCUCUCCGAGUUGUAGGGAUGAUUAUUGGGCUUAAAGCGUCCGUAGCUGGCUUAGCAAGUCUCCUGUUAAAUUCAGCGACCUAAUCGUUGAGCCGCGGGAGAUACUACUAGGCUAGGAGGCGGGAGAGGUCGACGGUACUUUCGGGGGUAGGGGUGAAAUCCUAUAAUCCCGGGAGGACCACCAGUGGCGAAGGCUGUCGACUAGAACGCGCUCGACGGUGAGGGACGAAAGCUGGGGGAGCGAACCGGAUUAGAUACCCGGGUAGUCCCAGCUGUAAACUAUGCGGGCUAGGUGUUGGGGUGGCUACGGGCCACUUCAGUGCCGCAGGAAAGCCAUUAAGCCCGCCGCCUGGGGAGUACGGCCGCAAGGCUGAAACUUAAAGGAAUUGGCGGGGGAGCACCACAAGGCGUGAAGCUUGCGGUUC
rnacentral:rRNA from 1 species